rnacentral:rRNA from 1 species
CACGUAGGCACCAAGCGUUGUCCGGAUUUAUUGGGCGUAAAGAGCUCGUAGGCGGUUCGGUAAGUCGGGUGUGAAAUCUUGGAGCUUAACUCCGAACUGCAUUCGAUACUGCCGUGCUUGAGGACUGGAGAGGAGACUGGAAUUUACGGUGUAGCGGUGAAAUGCGUAGAUAUCGUAAGGAACACCAGUUGCGAAGGCGGCUGACUGGACACAUAUUGACGCUGAGGCUCGAAAGCAUGGGGAGCAAACAGG